AACCCAUUUGUUCUCCGUCUGCCCAAGUAUCACUUACUCAUCUCCUGCUCUCCGCCAAACCAUCUCGACAGGCACUCCUCAGACACCCGGAGUCUGUACAACUAUUCUGAAACAACACCUAUCUGUUAACAAAGACAGCGAGCACCGAGCGGGACGAAAUGAAGACAGAGGGGACCAGAGCAGCAUAAAGAGAGGACCACACAAAGAUUUGUCAGAGGAAAGAUCUUUAAAGUGCUGCCAGCUUUCCCCUGGUUUCUCCAGUGUCUGUUUGUUUUCUGUGGAAAUGACUUUGAUAGCAGCAGACUCUCAAUUAGAUCCUGCACGGCUUCUGAUGUUCCAUUGUCUCUCCUCAAUCAACCCCUUUCAUUUCUCAUCACUAUGUAUCUCUGCCGCAUCUCUGAAAGAAAAGGCAGACCGGGAGGUCACCAGUGUUCAGUCAAAUGAAGGACGGCGAAAUGUCACAUGGCCGAGAGUCUCCAUGGAAAAGGAACCACUGGCAUUGAGGGAUCAUACGUUUCGGUCAAUUCUGUCGAUAACAUUUGGACUAUAAGCAGCACAAAACUCCAUGCAAUUGGCAUUCGUGUGGCUGUAGGUGCGGCAGUGGGCGCGGGGUCCUCUCUGGGGCACCUGGCCGGUUGGCGCACCUCUUCGCAAUCUGCCCGUCAGUGGCCGUUUAACAGCCGAGGCUGAACAUGUGCUCGACGGCAGAUUGUUCCGCCAGCUCUGCGGUACUACACCCGGCCAACUAGACCUGCAGUUCCCAGUUCCGUUUUUGCUCUUGUGGUUUUUGCCCGUCACGCAUUCAGUUCUCUGUCCAGGGUUUGUCCGUUUGGAGUCUGUGUAACUCUGGAGCGUGCCUCGGUUAAGCCGCACCGACAACAACAAGGACCAUUCUACGCCCGCCGUGCCCCCUGCUCACCUGCAUGCCAGCCUUCUACAUCUGUUGCACGUUACCCUUGUGAAAGUUGGAUUAAGGACCUCCAAACUGCUUUCCUCGUUCGUGGUCCGCAUUCGGAGUGCGGAACCAGCUAUCCCUAACAGGUUGGAGCCCGUGCUGCCAACAGCGGUCCGAACACCAAUUGCCGCCAAGGCAUCAACGCACAGGGACAACAAAUGCUAGCCCAGCUGGGAGGAAUGUGCACGGGGCUGCAGUACGAAGCUUCAGACUGGUCAGCGCCCAUGCAGGUCAUCAUGUUUUGGUGUUUUGUGAUACAUAUAAAGUCAGGCUCAGCAUGCUGCCCAUGCACAAAUGAAAAAAUGCGGAUAAUGUGUGCAAGAAAAACAAAACCCUACCUAUCGGACUCAUGUGCUGGGCUAAUUAACAGCGUGCACAGCAGUGUGUGUAACUGGCCUGCAGCUAAAAGCAGCAUAGGCUAUGAGUGAGCUAAUUACCUUGGUAAGCAAAGCAAUGCUACUGAUCUAUAAGACUCUACCACUCUUCACCACGUGUCAUGUUGUAAACUCGAUACAUGCUGUCCAGGUCAGUAUCUUGACUCAAUGGUAACUCAUUUAGCCAGUGAGCUGAUUUUGCUGAGUGACAGGCUGUGGACACAUUUUCUUCUGAUUGCCGGAACGGGACCUGCUCCGCAGCGCAGGUUACCGUCAUCGAAAGAGUCAGCCUCAUGACGCCUCGCAGCGGUUGUCACACAAUCGGCGCCGGUUUCCCGUCCGCUCAAGCUCUUGCUGCUUUAUUGUUUUAGAUUGUUUCCUGAAAAAACUUAGUUUGAAAUCAACAAAUAUUAUUUGUGCACAUGAGCAUCGGAGUAGACCUGUUGAUGUUUUCUCAUAAUGUUUCUGUUUGCAUUGUUACUCACCAUAGCACAUGCAAAGUGUUGAAUUGAUUUUCUUCAUCAUAAAACAUUUGCAAACUGAUUUUAUUUUCUUCUUUUCCCCCCAAAACCUUUUGAGACCUGUAUUGUUUGUAUCGAUGACUGUGAGCUUGAAUGUAGUCUGCACUUCCAGUCCUCCGUGUGCGUUCGCCUGCUCUCUGUUGAGCCUCCAAGAUGCCUCGCCUCGUGUUUUCUGUUCCUUUUGGUUUCCUCUGAUUGAUUGUUAGAAUUUUGUCAUUUGCCUCUGUAAGCCUGUUUUUGGGUCCAUGUUUAUUCGGAAAAACACCUUUUUCCUGCAUCUCCAUUCGGGCCCUGCAUUGCUGGACGUGACAUGCACAACGAGACAAGCAAAACAUGGCCCGGGAAAAAACACAUUCUUGGACAUAUUUUUCAGCAGAGUCUGUUUCCUUAGCACAGAUCAAAUCCAUAUUGAAUUACACAGAAAUUGAGAGUGUGAUUCAGGAGUUAAAAUGAAAUAAAGAUUUUGGCUCUAGUAUAAAUUUGCAAGGAAGUAUUGGUGAAGCGAUUCUUGGAUUCUGA
ensembl:lncRNA